UACGGAGGGGGCUAGCGUUGUUCGGAAUUACUGGGCGUAAAGCGCACGUAGGCGGCUUUGUAAGUUAGAGGUGAAAGCCCGGGGCUCAACCCCGGAACUGCCCUCGAAACUAGGUAGCUAGAAUCUUGGAGAGGCGAGUGGAAUUCCGAGUGUAGAGGUGAAAUUCGUAGAUAUUCGCAAGAACACCAGUGGCGAAGGCGGCUUUCUGGCUCGAUACUGACGCUAAGGCGCGAAAGCGUGGGGAGCAAACAGG
rnacentral:rRNA from 1 species